rnacentral:rRNA from 1 species
CGUGCUUAACACAUGCAAGUCGAACGGAAAGGCCUCUUGCUUGCAAGGGGUACUCGAGUGGCGAACGGGUGAGUAACACGUGGGUGAUCUGCCUUGCACUCUGGGAUAAGCUUGGGAAACUGGGUCUAAUACCGGAUAUGAACUGCCUUUAGUGUGGUGGUUGGAAAGUUUUUUCGGUGCAAGAUGAGCUCGCGGCCUAUCAGCUUGUUGGUGGGGUAAUGGCCUACCAAGGCGUCGACGGGUAGCCGGCCUGAGAGGGUGUACGGCCACAUUGGGACUGAGAUACGGCCCAGACUCCUACGGGAGGCAGCAGUGGGGAAUAUUGCACAAUGGGCGGAAGCCUGAUGCAGCGACGCCGCGUGGGGGAUGACGGCCUUCGGGUUGUAAACUCCUUUCGACAGGGACGAAGCUUUUUGUGACGGUACCUGUAUAAGAAGCACCGGCUAACUACGUGCCAGCAGCCGCGGUAAUACGUAGGGUGCGAGCGUUGUCCGGAAUUACUGGGCGUAAAGAGCUCGUAGGUGGUUUGUCGCGUCGUCUGUGAAAUUCCGGGGCUUAACUUCGGGCGUGCAGGCGAUACGGGCAUAACUUGAGUGCUGUAGGGGAGACUGGAAUUCCUGGUGUAGCGGUGAAAUGCGCAGAUAUCAGGAGGAACACCGAUGGCGAAGGCAGGUCUCUGGGCAGUUACUGACGCUGAGGAGCGAAAGCAUGGGUAGCAAACAGGAUUAGAUACCCU